CCCCUCUCUCAACCUCAAGUUUUUAAUCAUUCUUGUGAGCAAAGGAUAUACCAAAAUCUCUAGCCCACUCCAUACCCACUCCAUACUUCACAAGCAAAUUUGCACUUAAAAAAAUAAGUGAUCCUGUAUAUCCAUGCCUUCCCCGUACAAUAGCGCACACAGUUUAAAAUCACAAAUACCAAUCUUAGCUAAUCUCCCGG
rnacentral:lncRNA from 1 species